rnacentral:rRNA from 1 species
UACGUAGGGUGCAAGCGUUGUCCGGAAUUAUUGGGCGUAAAGAGCUCGUAGGCGGUCUGUCGCGUCUGCUGUGAAAACUCAGGGCUUAACCCUGAGCUUGCAGUCGAUACGGGCAGGCUAGAGUUCGGUAGGGGAGACUGGAAUUCCUGGUGUAGCGGUGAAAAUGCGCAGAUAUCAGGAGGAACACCGAUGGCGAAGGCAGGUCUCUGGGCCGAUACUGACGCUGAGGAGCGAAAGCGUGGGGAGCGAACAGG